rnacentral:lncRNA from 1 species
AAAUAUAGGUACCUAAAAUUUCUUUAACAUUCUAACAUGUUAUCAAACACAUAUACCCUAUAACUUCAUUAACAUUGCAGGUUAUCAAACACAUAUACCUAGAACUUCCUUAACAUUCGAGUAUUAACAAUUCCAGAGAGAACAUUCCACUUCCCAAAAAAAAACUUCCAAUUUUUAGAAAAUGUUUACCUAUCAACAAUCAAAUAGGCUCUAAGUCACAGACAGAAGCGGAGAACAUUUUUCUAAAUGACUGAACAACCAUAUUUGAAGUGUUCGGCUGAUCUCCAUUCAUGUUAGCAUCAUUGUGAAGAUUUUGGAUUAUUGCGACAUAUGAACCCCAAAGAG